rnacentral:rRNA from 1 species
UAGGGGUUCUGAGAGGAAGGUCCCCCCACAUUGGAACUGAANACGACGCAACUCCUACGGGAGGCAGCAG